AAUCUACCUAGUUCCGCCCAUUGGAAGGGAAGAGCGGGGUCGGUUUUGCUCUCGAGACUUGCUUUGCCUUUCGGGUCUCGGACGCCGACAUUUGACUGGAUUUGCUGGGUGUGAAGAACGACGGCGGGCCGGAAGCCGUGCGCUUGCGGUUCCCUAUUCGCCCCCGAAGAAUCUUAUUCACGCUACGAAAAGAUUGCGGUUGGCUUUUGCAAGAUAUUUAUGAUGCCGACUAUAAUUGCGGUUGGCUUUUGGAUCUUGUGGAGCAUAUUCCACGAUUCGGGCCACUCGUCCCGAGGGCUCGCCCCCGAUCGUGGAGGGUUUCGUUCGGUGGAGUGUUAGCGGCAGCGUCGGUCCUCUUCCUUCGCUGAAAGGCAACCUGCGUCGCCCUCAUCAUCGCUGCUGGCGGCGUGCCUUUCGAAAGGGUUCGUACGCUGUUUCACUUUAUUCCUUGAGCUUUACUCUUCGUAAUCGGUGAAGUAAAGACCGGCCCCCUAAAUCACGGGAAACGGCAGCCUUUUACCCCUUUCCUAUCGGGUCGUCUGGUCACUGAUUUCAGUCUAGGAGGCCUGCACGUUACCUGUUCGACGUAAUGAUCGAGACAAAAUAUGUCAUCGGUGAGCUGCGUCCGCCAUACUAGGAGUAAUGUGCGGUCGUGCAUGGCGAAUGCCCUUCUUUCACAGUUUCAGUUAAUCAAAUAAAGAGGCUAGUUAGGUUGGAAUUUUCCACCUUAAGUUCCCAGCUAGAUUUUGUGGGUUGAAAUGUUGGGUUAAGGAAGAUGGAACUUGUAAUAGAUGAUAAACCCCCGUUUCCCGACGGUGAAUUGAUUGGAACCUGUGUAUUUGAACAGCUGAAAUUUGUUGGACGCCAACUAGUUGUAAUGUUUUUAGAUCCAGUGUCAUACUGAUAUGUUUUGGAUAGGCAA